rnacentral:rRNA from 1 species
GACCCGUAAUCCGGGUUGCGGACAGUGUCUGGUGGGUAGUUUGACUGGGGCGGUCUCCUCCUAAAGAGUAACGGAGGAGCACGAAGGUUGGCUAAUCCUGGUCGGACAUCAGGAGGUUAGUGCAAUGGCAUAAGCCAGCUUGACUGCGAGCGUGACGGCGCGAGCAGGUGCGAAAGCAGGUCAUAGUGAUCCGGUGGUUCUGAAUGGAAGGGCCAUCGCUCAACGGAUAAAAGGUACUCCGGGGAUAACAGGCUGAUACCGCCCAAGAGUUCAUAUCGACGGCGGUGUUUGGCACCUCGAUGUCGGCUCAUCACAUCCUGGGGCUGAAGUAGGUCCCAAGGGUAUGGCUGUUCGCCAUUUAAAGUGGUACGCGAGCUGGGUUUAGAACGUCGUGAGACAGUUCGGUCCCUAUCUGCCGUGGGCGCUGGAGAAUUGAGGGGGGCUGCUCCUAGUACGAGAGGACCGGAGUGGACGCAUCACUGGUGUUCGGGUUGUCAUGCCAAUGGCACUGCCCGGUAGCUAAAUGCGGAAGAGAUAAGUGCUGAAAGCAUCUAAGCACGAAACUUGCCCCGAGAUGAGUUCUCCCUGACUCCUUGAGAGUCCUGAAGGAACGUUGAAGACGACGACGUUGAUAGGCCGGGUGUGUAAGCGCAGCGAUGCGUUGAGCUAACCGGUACUAAUGAACCGUGAGGCUUAACCUU